UCAUAAAGUGCGUCGUAGUCCGGAUUGGAGUCUGCAACUCGACUCCAUGAAGUCGGAAUCGCUAGUAAUCGUGGAUCAGAAUGCCACGGUGAAUACGUUCCCGGGCCUUGUACACCCCGCCCGUCACACCAUGGGAGUGGGUUGCAAAAGAAGUAGGUAGCUUAACCUUCGGGAGGGCGCUUACCACUUUGUGAUUCAUGACUG
rnacentral:rRNA from 1 species